rnacentral:rRNA from 1 species
AUUGAACGCUGGCGGCAGGCCUAACACAUGCAAGUCGAACGGUAGCACAGAGAGCUUGCUCUCGGGUGACGAGUGGCGGACGGGUGAGUAAUGUCUGGGAAACUGCCCGAUGGAGGGGGAUAACUACUGGAAACGGUAGCUAAUACCGCAUAACGUCGCAAGACCAAAGUGGGGGACCUUCGGGCCUCACACCAUCGGAUGUGCCCAGAUGGGAUUAGCUAGUAGGUGGGGUAAUGGCUCACCUAGGCGACGAUCCCUAGCUGGUCUGAGAGGAUGACCCGCCACACUGGAACUGAGACACGGUCCAGACUCCUACGGGAGGCAGCAGUGGGGAAUAUUGCACAAUGGGCGCAAGCCUGAUGCAGCCAUGCCGCGUGUAUGAAGAAGGCCUUCGGGUUGUGAAGUACUUUCAGCGGGGAGGAAGGCGGUGAAGUUAAUAACUUCACCGAUUGACGUUACCCGCAGAAGAAGCACCGGCUAACUCCGUGCCAGCCGCCGCGGUAA